rnacentral:tRNA from 1 species
GCCGCCGUGGUGAAAUUGGUAUACACACGACACUUAAAAUGUCGCGCCGUAAGGCUUGUCGGUUCGAGUCCGACCGGCGGCACCA